rnacentral:rRNA from 1 species
AGCGAACGCUGGCGGCAGGCUUAACACAUGCAAGUCGAGCGGGCACUUUCGGGUGUCAGCGGCGGACGGGUGAGUAACGCGUGGGAACGUGCCCUCUGGUUCGGAAUAACUCAGGGAAACUUGAGCUAAUACCGGAUACGCCCUUUUGGGGAAAGGCUUGCUCCCGGAGGAUCGGCCCGCGUCUGAUUAGCUAGUUGGUGAGGUAACGGCUCACCAAGGCGACGAUCAGUAGCUGGUCUGAGAGGAUGAUCAGCCACACUGGGACUGAGACACGGCCCAGACUCCUACGGGAGGCAGCAGUGGGGAAUAUUGGACAAUGGGCGCAAGCCUGAUCCAGCCAUGCCGCGUGAGUGAUGAAGGCCUUAGGGUUGUAAAGCUCUUUUAUCCGGGACGAUAAUGACGGUACCGGAGGAAUAAGCCCCGGCUAACUUCGUG